rnacentral:rRNA from 1 species
UUUGAUUGAUGGUGCUUGCACCUGUAUUGAUUUUGGUCGCCAACGAGUGGCGGACGGGUGANGUAACACNUAGGUAACCUGCCCAGAAGCGGGGGACAACAUUUGNAAACAGAUGCUAAUACCGCAUAACAACGUUGUUCGCAUGAACAACGCUUAAAAGAUGGCUUCUCGCUAUCACUUCUGGAUGGACCUGCGGUGCAUUAGCUUGUUGGUGGGGUAACGGCCUACCAAGGCGAUGAUGCAUAGCCGAGUUGANAGACUGAUCGGCCACAAUGGGACUGANACACGGCCCAUACUCCUACGGGAGGCANCACUANGGAAUCUUCCACAAUGGGCGCAAGCCUGAUG